rnacentral:ncRNA from 1 species
GGGUUUUUCCUUUUGUGGAAUUUGAAUUUUUAUGUUUUUUAAUUUUUUAUUAUGUUAUAAUAUAUAUAAUUAUAACACACACACACACACACACACAAUAUAACCUUAUAAUAGUCGACUCAGAGCUAUUUCAGACAAGGGGAAUCUCACUAUUUAAUUCAAACAAAGAAUUGUGAUGGUCCUUGUGGAUGUUGACGCAAUGUGAUUUCUGCCCAAUGCUCUAAAUGUUAAAGUGAAUAAAUUCAACCAAGCACGGGUAAACGACGGGGGUAACUAUGACUCUCUUAAGGUAGCCAAAUGCCUCGCCAUCUAAUUAGUGAUGCACAUGAAUGGAUUAACUAGAUUCCCACUAUCCCUAUCUACUAUCUAGUGAAAACACAACCAAGGGAAUGGGCUUGGCAUAAUCAACACGGAAAUAAGACCUUGUUGAUAUUGACUCUAGUCCAACUUUGUGAAAUGAAUUGAGAGUUGUAUAAUGAUCCAGAUUAUUUUUGGCACGAAACGAGAGCGGAGAUAUAACACAAAAAUAUUCAGAGAUAUUGCAAGAGAGACAAAAAUAUAACAAUGAUAUAUCAUAAAUAUAACAAGAGUCACAUAUAUAAAGU